UACGUAGGCAGCAAGCGUUGUUCGGAAUUACUGGGCGUAAAGAGUGUGUAGGCGGUGCUCUAAGUCUGUUGUGAAAUCUCCCGGCUUAACUGGGAGGGUGCGGCGGAGACUGGAGUGCUAGAGUGUGGGAGAGGUAAGCGGAACUCCUGGUGUAGCGGUGGAAUGCGCAGAUAUCAGGAAGAACACCGGUGGCGAAGGCGGCUCUCUGGGCCUUACCUGACGCUGAGGAGCGAAAGCGUGGGUAGCGAACAGG
rnacentral:rRNA from 1 species